rnacentral:lncRNA from 1 species
AAAAUGGCUGAAGUUCUGUUGCAGAAGGUACCACAGAAAUGGAGCAGAAGGAACACUCAGAAGAGGAUCCAGAAAAUGAAUAACAAAGGCAUUGACCGAUUCACCUCCGGCCCUGUCCCAUUGGAUGUGGCAACUUCACACAGAGAGACAUCUUCCAAUUUGUCACUCCUGUACCUGAUCCCCGCCACCUUCUGCCCUGAGACGACGACAUAACUUUUUGGGUGGGAGUGACCUCUGAGGCAUUUCUCACAGAAAGUCAAGAGAUUGAAGCCAGGGCUCAGGAGAAAAUGGAAAAAAAGGAAAUGAUUCACUGAAUUGUUCUCAAAGACUAUUUAGGGCUUUCUCAUUAUCAGUUGUAUUCAUUUAUUCCCCAGCAGUUGAACGCCUGAGUUCACUUGUAAAGUUGCCUUUUUAAGCUAAUAUUUCUUUGCUUUCCUGUAUUUAGAAAUCACUGAGAUUGUAUUGAUCCAUAUUGAUAAUUUUAUGGGGCUCAAUCCGUCACAGUGUUAAAAUGCUACCACAGAGAUAACGGUAUUACUUUGUCUUUAACUUCAUGCUCAGACUGGUAUUUCAUAUUGAUUUCUUGGCUUCGGUUUGUUGUUUAAUGAUUUGCAUUUUCAUUGUGUUGCAUUUACCAUGACUGAGUUUCCAAGAAAGCUACAGUGUUUUCGAUGUUUGUAUUUCUAAAAUCAGAAAUAUCUCAUUCAUUACUGCUGUUUAAAAUUGAAAAUCAAUAUUUAUCUGCUAUUCACAGUGCCUAAUGUUUGUGCUGUCUGCCUUAUCUACUUUGAUGUAUGGAAAAAAAAUUCCAACAUUCAAAAAGUGUUUUCAUCCAAGCAGUUCUUGCAUAUCUGAUAACUCUUUUGUUUAAUUGAUUUGCUGUGACUUG